AUUUUUUUAGUAUAAUUAGUAUGUUUGACUUCCAAUCAAAAGGUCUAAAUAUUUUAGAAAAAAUA
rnacentral:tRNA from 1 species